rnacentral:lncRNA from 1 species
CUUUUUCCAGUGUGCAACAUUAUUCACUUAACUUUUCAUUAGGCCUUUUCAUGUGUAAUUGCUGUAAGGAGCAGUAAGUGAUGUUUCAUGCCACAAAAGGAUAGCUAUUCAUUGUAUUUGGGCUUCCUCCAGAUGAAAGUCUCGGUCUCAGCCUGUACCAGCUGUUCAUCUGGCUCAGCGUCACCUCCUUAACCACAGGCAGCACUUCUGUUGCAUAAUACAAAGGAACUUGGUUUCUUUUUUCCACCUUUGCUGCCU